UACGGAGGGUGCGAGCGUUAAUCGGAAUUACUGGGCGUAAAGGGUGCGUAGGUUGUUUGGUAAGUUAGUUUUGAAAUUCCUGGGCUUAACCUGGGCGAGUGAACUAAGACUGUUAAACUAGAGUAGAGUAGAGGGUACUGGAAUUUCCGGUGUAGCGGUGAAAUGCGUAGAGAUCGGAAGGAACACCAGUGGCGAAGGCGAGUACCUGGGCUACUACUGACACUGAGGCACGAAAGCAUGGGUAGCGAACAGG
rnacentral:rRNA from 1 species